rnacentral:lncRNA from 10 species
AUUGCAAGCUGCUUUUAGCUUCACGGGCAGUCAUUGGAACCUUAUUCAUGAACACAUUUGCAAUAUCCUCUGAGAACUCCCGGGAAAAAAGUGGGAGAAUGUGAAGACCCCAGAGGGCCUAAGUUGCAAAUGAGCUUAUUGUCACUUUGAUCUCAGCUUUCAAGACACACAACUUCUUCUCUAACAGAAACAUAAAUGGCUGAUCAAAGUGUGCUUGCAGAGGCCAAGUUCAGUGCCUUCACAUAAAUGCAGAAUCAUGAAAACAAAUAGCUGAAAAAAAUCCAGAGAGAUGGCUAUGGAAGUUAUUGUCAUGAGAUGGAAGGAUCAAGUGUGCAAACCACAUAGCAUGUUGUUCAGCAAAUUAAAUAAAAAACUAGAUGUGCUUCCUGGCUCCGACUGCUCCUCCCAACAAAGGCUUCAGGCUGCAGGAGUCACUUCCCCAAUCCUGACAUCUCCAGUUCAUGCAAGAUCAUGGGCUGCAAGAGCACCUGCAUGUCUAUAGGGCCAGAAAUUCCUCCUUCUUCUGAUGGAUGGGAGCCCAAUCAAGAACUUCUCAGACAAGACCAAGGGAGUGGGAGCUUCUGGAGGACGAACAACUCUGAAAUCCUGCAUUGAUGAGCAAACAGCAGCAGCAGCAGCAGGAGGAGGAGGAGGGGAUAAAGAUCUUGGACAAUGUAUUCAUUUUAGGGAGGGGGAUAUUGACUUUAGGGGCAGUUUUGUGAUACAAAUAAAUGGAGGGUUGGGGUGGGGUGGAGGAAGAAGAUUGUUCUGAAAUUCACUUUCCAAAUGCCAGGUUUACAAAAAUGCCACUGAUACUGAAUUUCUAAGCAGCAACUCACAACUUCCUCUGACAGAGAGAUGUCUUACAGAAAGUUCCAAUGAGUGCUGGGGAAUUUCUGGUAGUAAUAUUUCACAUAAGGAAUAUUUUAGCCUCAUUUCAUAGUGAAGUAUUUUACAAUCAUUUAUUCAUUAUAUUGCCCCUAUUGCAAACCAAGAUUAUGUUUUUAGAGCUAAGAAAUAUCAAUAAUUUGGAAUCAGAGUUUCCUGAUUAUUCAACAAGCCAUUGACCAAGCUGAAGUUUAAACUCAGCAUGUCCAGGGCUACACAACUACCAGAUGAAGCAAAAUAAUGAUGUCAAAGCAGUGAUUUGGUAUCGUGUUAAAUGAACUGAAUGAUGGACUUGAUUAUUAACUAUGUUUUUAACUGCAUCAUGUAGUUCCAAUAGCCAAUUAAAUGAAGACACAUGCACACGUGUGUUUAUUGCAGCACCACUCACAAUAGCAAAGACUUGGAACCAACCCAAAUGCCCAUCAAUGAUAGACUGGAUAAAGGAAUUGUGGCACAUAUACACCAUUGAAUACUAUGCAGCCAUAAAAAAGAAUGAGUUCAUGUCAUCUGCAGGGACAUGGAUGAAGCUGGAAACCAUCAUUCUUAGCAAACUAACACAGGAACAGAAAACCAAACACUGCAUGUUCUCACUCAUAAGUGGGAGCUGAACAAUGAGAACAUAUGGACACAG